UGCUGCCUUUUCGGGGUUUGUGGACUCCAGAAGCGAGGAUGGUGAGAUUCGUGAGUCUAAUUCAGGGGACAGUGUAUUGUUGCAAGCCGUCAAGGCUUUGGGACCUCAUGACAGUGUCUCUGAGGAUAUUGAACCACAGGUGGCUGCUAUGGUCAAUUUGUUUUGAAAAAGGUCUCCAGGAAGAGGACUACAGGGCGAUUUCGGAGGACCCAGUCACCAGGCGUCCCAACAAUUGCCCUGCACUGGCUACAGUGGAGUGCAACCCGCAGAUCUCGGGUGCCCUGAAGACGGACCCAAGGAAAGCUGAUUCCCGGCUCAAGGAAGGAAAUCCUCCAGCAGCAGGCCCAGGAGCUUCUGGGGUAAAUCUACUUUUUGGAGCCACUCGGCGAGAUUCCAGCCCUACGGACAGCAGAGGUGGGGCUUCCGGAGUGGCCAACGGCAGCAUUUGGCGCGACAGGAUUCGGAUCCAAAAAACGCCAAAGGUCGGGGUCAUCAAAGGCCCCGACAGUAAGUGAGGUGCCUGCAGAAGGUAAAAGCAGAAGGGACGAGAGUGUGGAUGGUUGUGCCCCUGUGGUUAUCACAACCUUGGAUGGGCACAUUGCUCGGGAUGCUGGUCAACCACCCUCACCUCAUCACGCAGAGGAGAAAGGUGCUAAUACACCCAGCUUCAGGGGAGGAGCACCCUAACAUGCGCCACACACAACUGAUGGCGUGCCUAUUGUCAGGGAGUGUUUGCGAGAACAAGGAAUUUCUAAGGCAGCAUUACCUUGCAAGAACGGAGGAACUUAGACGGGGCCUUUCACGCGAUGAGGAUAAAUUAUUCCUCAGCUUCAUUAAACCACACAAGUCAUUUACUAAGGACACCAUUGCUCGGUGGAUUAAGGCAAUGCUUAGUAGGUCAGAUGUGGACACAUCAAAAUUUACAGCGGGUAGUGUUAGGCCAGCAGCUGUAUCAAAGGCCAAGGCUAUGGCUGUGCCUAUCACUUGUAUCAUGUCAAAGGCAGGGUGAGUCAGGAAUGUACCUUUGCUAAAUUUUACGACAAGCCCAUUGCUACAGAGGUGGACCCUUUUCAGGAGGCAGUAUUACUGUAGGUACUGUUAUUUUCUCAUGUACUGGUGUUUCUUCAUUUGGGAUGAUAAACGCAAUGUGGAUGGUAUGAGGAGUCCAUGCCAUUAUGCAGGGUUAUGCAUAUUGUGAUAGUUUGCUUUUGGUUUUGAGGCAUAAUAGGAAAAUUGGGAAGUAGGUAUACUUGUUAAUGGGAAUUGUUCACAUAUGUUCAAUGUAUCUAUAUGUACAAUGAAGAUUGCAAUCAUGUA
rnacentral:misc_RNA from 1 species